GGUUAAGCGACUAAGCGUACACGGUGGAUGCCCUGGCAGUCAGAGGCGAUGAAGGGCGUGCUAAUCUGCGAUAAGCGCCGGUAAGGUGAUAUGAACCGUUAUAACCGGCGAUACCCGAAUGGGGAAACCCAGUGUGACUCGUCACACUAUCAUUAACUGAAUCCAUAGGUUAAUGAGGCGAACCGGGGGAACUGAAACAUCUAAGUACCCCGAGGAAAAGAAAUCAACCGAGAUUCCCCCAGUAGCGGCGAGCGAACGGGGAGGAGCCCAGAGCCUGAAUCAGCAUGUGUGUUAGUGGAAGCGUCUGGAAAGGCGCGCGAUACAGGGUGACAGCCCCGUACACAAAAGCGCAUGUGCUGUGAGCUCGAUGAGUAGGGCGGGACACGUGGUAUCCUGUCUGAAUAUGGGGGGACCAUCCUCCAAGGCUAAAUACUCCUGACUGACCGAUAGUGAACCAGUACCGUGAGGGAAAGGCGAAAAGAACCCCGGCGAGGGGAGUGAAAAAGAACCUGAAACCGUGUACGUACAAGCAGUGGGAGCCCCACCACCAAAGCAUUCUCUGGUGUUGAAGGCCCUGCAAAGCAGCAUCGCGGUGGCGGAGCGUCGUUUGCGACGCCCAACACACAAAACAAGCGGUGAGUGCUUUGGGGUGGGGUGACUGCGUACCUUUUGUAUAAUGGGUCAGCGACUUAUAUUCUGUAGCAAGGUUAACCGAAUAGGGGAGCCGGAGGGAAACCGAGUCUUAAUUGGGCGUUAAGUUGCAGGGUAUAGACCCGAAACCCGGUGAUCUAGCCAUGGGCAGGUUGAAGGUUGGGUAACACUAACUGGAGGACCGAACCGACUAAUGUUGAAAAAUUAGCGGAUGACCUGUGGCUGGGGGUGAAAGGCCAAUCAAACCGGGAGAUAGCUGGUUCUCCCCGAAAGCUAUUUAGGUAGCGCCUCGUGAAUUCAUCUCCGGGGGUAGAGCACUGUUUCGGCUAGGGGGCCAUCCCGGCUUACCAACCCGAUGCAAACUGCGAAUACCGGAGAAUGUUAUCACGGGAGACACACGGCGGGUGCUAACGUCCGUCGUGAAGAGGGAAACAACCCAGACCGCCAGCUAAGGUCCCAAAGUCAUGGUUAAGUGGGAAACGAUGUGGGAAGGCCCAGACAGCCAGGAUGUUGGCUUAGAAGCAGCCAUCAUUUAAAGAAAGCGUAAUAGCUCACUGGUCGAGUCGGCCUGCGCGGAAGAUGUAACGGGGCUAAACCAUGCACCGAAGCUGCGGCAGCGACGCUGAUGCGUUGUUGGGUAGGGGAGCGUUCUGUAAGCCUGCGAAGGUGGCCUGUGAGGGUUGCUGGAGGUAUCAGAAGUGCGAAUGCUGACAUAAGUAACGAUAAAGCGGGUGAAAAGCCCGCUCGCCGGAAGACCAAGGGUUCCUGUCCAACGUUAAUCGGGGCAGGGUGAGUCGACCCCUAAGGCGAGGCCGAAAGGCGUAGUCGAUGGGAAACGGGUUAAUAUUCCCGUACUUGGUGUUACUGCGAAGGGGGGACGGAGAAGGCUAUGUUGGCCGGGCGACGGUUGUCCCGGUUUAAGCGUGUAGGUGUGUGUUCCAGGUAAAUCCGGUUCACUUUAACACUGAGGCGUGAUGACGAGGCACUACGGUGCUGAAGCAACAAAUGCCCUGCUUCCAGGAAAAGCCUCUAAGCAUCAGGUAACAUCAAAUCGUACCCCAAACCGACACAGGUGGUCAGGUAGAGAAUACCAAGGCGCUUGAGAGAACUCGGGUGAAGGAACUAGGCAAAAUGGUGCCGUAACUUCGGGAGAAGGCACGCUGACACGUAGGUGAAGUGAUUUACUCAUGGAGCUGAAGUCAGUCGAAGAUACCAGCUGGCUGCAACUGUUUAUUAAAAACACAGCACUGUGCAAACACGAAAGUGGACGUAUACGGUGUGACGCCUGCCCGGUGCCGGAAGGUUAAUUGAUGGGGUCAGCGCAAGCGAAGCUCCUGAUCGAAGCCCCGGUAAACGGCGGCCGUAACUAUAACGGUCCUAAGGUAGCGAAAUUCCUUGUCGGGUAAGUUCCGACCUGCACGAAUGGCGUAAUGAUGGCCAGGCUGUCUCCACCCGAGACUCAGUGAAAUUGAACUCGCUGUGAAGAUGCAGUGUACCCGCGGCAAGACGGAAAGACCCCGUGAACCUUUACUAUAGCUUGACACUGAACAUUGAGCCUUGAUGUGUAGGAUAGGUGGGAGGCUUUGAAGUGUGGACGCCAGUCUGCAUGGAGCCGACCUUGAAAUACCACCCUUUAAUGUUUGAUGUUCUAACGUGGACCCGUUACCCGGGUUGCGGACAGUGUCUGGUGGGUAGUUUGACUGGGGCGGUCUCCUCCUAAAGAGUAACGGAGGAGCACGAAGGUUGGCUAAUCCUGGUCGGACAUCAGGAGGUUAGUGCAAUGGCAUAAGCCAGCUUGACUGCGAGCGUGACGGCGCGAGCAGGUGCGAAAGCAGGUCAUAGUGAUCCGGUGGUUCUGAAUGGAAGGGCCAUCGCUCAACGGAUAAAAGGUACUCCGGGGAUAACAGGCUGAUACCGCCCAAGAGUUCAUAUCGACGGCGGUGUUUGGCACCUCGAUGUCGGCUCAUCACAUCCUGGGGCUGAAGUAGGUCCCAAGGGUAUGGCUGUUCGCCAUUUAAAGUGGUACGCGAGCUGGGUUUAGAACGUCGUGAGACAGUUCGGUCCCUAUCUGCCGUGGGCGCUGGAGAACUGAGGGGGGCUGCUCCUAGUACGAGAGGACCGGAGUGGACGCAUCACUGGUGUUCGGGUUGUCAUGCCAAUGGCACUGCCCGGUAGCUAAAUGCGGAAGAGAUAAGUGCUGAAAGCAUCUAAGCACGAAACUUGCCCCGAGAUGAGUUCUCCCUGAGACUUAGAGUCUCCUGAAGGAACGUUGAAGACGACGACGUUGAUAGGCCGGGUGUGUAAGCGCAGCGAUGCGUUGAGCUAACCGGUACUAAUGAACCGUGAGGCUUAACCUU
rnacentral:rRNA from 1 species